rnacentral:rRNA from 1 species
AUACGUAGGUGGCAAGCGUUGUCCGGAUUUACUGGGCGUAAAGGGCGCGUAGGCGGGCUGGCAAGUCAGAUGUGAAAUCUCCGGGCUCAACCCGGAAACUGCAUUUGAAACUGUCGUUCUUGAGUAUCGGAGAGGCAAGCGGAAUUCCUAGUGUAGCGGUGAAAUGCGUAGAUAUUAGGAGGAACAUCAGUGGCGAAGGCGGCUUACUGGUCUUUUACUGACUCUGAGGCUCGAAAGCGUGGGGAGCAAACAGGAUUAGAUACCCGGGUAGUCCACGCCGUAAACGAUGAAUACUAGGUGUAGGGGGUAUCGACGCCCUCUGUGCCGCAGUUAACACAAUAAGUAUUCCGCCUGGGGAGUACGGCCGCAAGGUUGAAACUCAAAGGAAUUGACGGGG